AGCGGGUAAUCCCCUGUGUGUUCUACCGGCUGUUGAUGCCAUGUUUUUCAAAUGGACAAAUUGGUCGUCAUCAACUCGUCAUGAUUCACGAGCUUUCAGAUCUGGACGCAGCUGGCCUCCUCAACCUGUAGCUGCAUGCAUUCAUGCACUGCACGCACGCACGGCGUCUCCAAGGCUCCAACCUCGCUCGUCAAUGGAUGGCCAAGCAAGCAGAGGUAAUGUAGCACUCGCCGCCAAACGCUUCCGCGGGAGAGUCUCAUGGUCCGCAUGUUUUUACUUUUUAGAGAGAGAGAGAGAUGCCGGCUAGUACGUGGAGGACCCAUCAAACGAGUCUAUCGGACGCCCAUCUGGCUGCACCCGGUGUCCUCAACCCCUAGCUCCUUAAUGGCUACCGGACGCCCAUCUGGCUGUAUCCGGCGAUAAAUGAAGUUACCGAUCGAUCUUUGUAACUUCUAUGGUCCUUAUUAAUUGGUAUCAUUCGGUAUAUCUUUGCAAUUUUUGCUGGCCCCAAUGGGUAGACCUAAGUAAUUUUUGUGAAAGUUCCUGAUUUUGUGUCUGUGUUCAGGCCACUUUUUAGUUUUUUGUGAAAAUUCCUGGUUUUGUGUCUGUGUUCUAGCCACUUUCUGACCCAGCAAAGAGCAGGAGGAUUCCAAUGGAGGAAAUGAUGCAGUUUUCGCACUGGGUGCCAUUUCAUAUCCAGAACUCCCCCAAGAGGAUUCAAAAGGGAGCAGCAACAGCGAGUCCUGGCGCCGACUGCAACCCUAGCCCGAAUCAGAACCCGCCGACUGACGCUUCCGGAGGGGGCCUCUUGUGACCAAGGCCGCUGCCGAGGCGCAACGUGGCACCCGUUCACGGCCUUCGGCAAGGUCCACGCCGACCUCUAGUAGCAGGCAAGUUGGCUAGAUCUCGCUGCCCCGGCCGUCCCGUCCCCGUCCCUAGGGUUCCGAGGAGAGGGCGUACAUGAUGCUGCGGAUGAACGAAGGUGGCGAGGGCAACGAUUAUGGCAGCUCGGAGCAUGAGCAGGAGCUGAAGCACCACCAUCGCGUUCACCACCAGGAGCACCCGGGUGGCGUCCAUGGUGAUGGGGAUGAUGAUCCCAAGGCCGAGGGUGAGGGCUACCUGCGAGGAUGAAGGCUAGAACGAGCUCUCCGAGGCUUUGAAGAGGAGGGGUUCAAUUAGGAUGAGGAGGUGAAGGAUGUGGAGCUAGCGCUAGACCCUGUAGAGUACAGGUUGUCACGUGGCUUAUGGCCCUCGGUAGGAUCAGCGAUUGUGAGUAUGUUUUGUUUUUCACCAGAUUUGACAUUUCACGUGGGUUGCUGAUGUGCAGUUUUGCUUUUGCUUUUGUAGGGCGGGCAGAGGAGAAUGUUGAGGAUCACAUAAAUGGUGCGCAGAUGGUCAUUUAUGUUUCCUUUUCUUGGAUGGAUUUAAUUUUUGUAUUUGAAGCUGGAAGUUGGGAGCACUCGAGUUUUGAUUAAAUGACCUUGGACCGACAACAAUGCUUAUUUUGUUAAUGCGUGUAAUUAUUGUUGGUAGAUGUGUAAUUUUUCAUAGGGCAUUUGAGAAAGGUGAAUCCUUGUUUGCACUUCCCUGCAAGCAUUCGUACCAUCCUGACUGCAUUAUUCAGUG